CCUUGUUUUACAGUGCUAAAUGAAAGUACUUUGCAUACAAUGUAUGGGUAUGCAUUCUGUGUGUAGGCACUUGUGUUAUAGAUGUAUCGCAUAUUAUGUGUAGAGGCAGUAUAUCAUCAUUGUUCAAGUGAAUGUUUCAACAGUGAAGUUGCAAGUUGCAACCGUCUUCAAAAGUUUGAUUUCCAGUGAUUGUGGAGCAUUUUACAGACCCGAAUUGAUUGUUAUCUGAAGAUUUGGUGACCAUACGACCAGUGAAUAAACGACAGUUCGUGAACUUUAA